rnacentral:rRNA from 1 species
UGGGGAAUAUUGCACAAUGGGCGAAAGCCUGAUGCAGCAACGCCGCGUGAAGGACGACGGUCUUCGGAUUGUAAACUUCUAUCGAUGGGGACGAAAUUUUGACGGUACCCAAGUAAGAAGCACCGGCCAACUACGUGCCAGCAGCCGCGGUAAUACGUAGGGUGCAAGCGUUAUCCGGAAUUACUGGGUGUAAAGGGUGAGUAGGCGGCGAAUAAAGUCAUGUGUGAAAUCCCGGGGCUCAACCUCGGAACCGCACAAGAAACUUAUUUGCUAGAGUACAGGAGAGGUUGGCGGAAUUCCUAGUGUAGCGGUGAAAUGCGUAGAUAUUAGGAAGAACACCAGUGGCGAAGGCGGCCGACUGGACUGUAACUGACGCUGAGUCACGAAAGCGUGGGGAGCGAACA